rnacentral:rRNA from 1 species
CCUACGGGUGGCAGCAGUGAGGAAUAUUGGUCAAUGGGCGCGAGCCUGAACCAGCCAAGUAGCGUGAAGGAUGACUGCCCUACGGGUUGUAAACUUCUUUUAUAAAGGAAUAAAGUGAGGCACGUGUGCCUUUUUGUAUGUACUUUAUGAAUAAGGAUCGGCUAACUCCGUGCCAGCAGCCGCGGUAAUACGGAGGAUCCGAGCGUUAUCCGGAUUUAUUGGGUUUAAAGGGAGCGUAGAUGGGUUGUUAAGUCAGUUGUGAAAGUUUGCGGCUUAAACGUAAAAUUGCAAUUGAAACUGGCUGUCUUGAGAUGUCGAGAGGGAUGCGGAAUGGGCAGUGUAGCGGUGAAAAUGUUAGAUAGUGCGGAGAAAUCCGAUUGGGAAGGCAGCAUAACGGCGGCGAUCUGA